rnacentral:rRNA from 1 species
UACGGAGGGGGCUAGCGUUGUUCGGAAUUACUGGGCGUAAAGCGCGCGUAGGCGGCUUUGUAAGUUAGAGGUGAAAGCCCGGAGCUUAACUCCGGAACUGCCUUUAAGACUGCAUCGCUAGAAUUGUGGAGAGGUGAGUGGAAUUCCGAGUGUAGAGGUGAAAUUCGUAGAUAUUCGGAAGAACACCGAUGGCGAAGGCAGCCAUCUGGACCGACACUGACGCUGAGGCGGCGAAAGCGUGGGGAGCAAACAGG